rnacentral:rRNA from 1 species
GAGAAAAGCCUCUAGCUAGAAUAACGGUGCCCGUACCGCAAACCGACACAGGUAGUCAAGAUGAGAAUUCUAAGGUGAGCGAGCGAACUCUCGUUAAGGAACUCGGCAAAAUGACCCCGUAACUUCGGGAGAAGGGGUGCUCUUUGAGGUUCACGCUUCGAAGAGCCGCAGUGAAUAGGCCCAAGCGACUGUUUAUCAAAAACACAGGUCUCUGCUAAACCGUAAGGUGACGUAUAGGGGCUGACGCCUGCCCGGUGCUGGAAGGUUAAGAGGAGUGGUUAGCGCAAGCGAAGCUACGAAUCGAAGCCCCAGUAAACGGCGGCCGUAACUAUAACGGUCCUAAGGUAGCGAAAUUCCUUGUCGGGUAAGUUCCGACCCGCACGAAAGGCGUAACGAUUUGGGCACUGUCUCAACGAGAGACUCGGUGAAAUCAUAGUACCGGUGAAGAUGCCGGUUACCCGCGACAGGACGGAAAGACCCCGUGGAGCUUUACUGUAGCCUGAUAUUGAAAUUCGGUACAGUUUGUACAGGAUAGGUAGGAGCCUUAGAAGCGUGAGCGCUAGCUUACGUGGAGGCAUUGGUGGGAUACUACCCUAAUUGUAUUGGAUUUCUAACCCGCAGCACUUAUCGUGCUGGGAGACAGUGUCAGGCGGGCAGUUUGACUGGGGCGGUCGCCUCCUAAAGAGUAACGGAGGCGCUCAAAGGUUCCCUCAGAAUGGUUGGAAAUCAUUCAUAGAGUGUAA